rnacentral:rRNA from 1 species
GACGAACCGUGCGAACGUUGUUCGGAAUCACUGGGCUUAAAGGGCGCGUAGGCGGCUCCGCCAGUCUCGGGUGAAAUCGUUCGGCUUAACCGGACAAGGGCCCGGGAUACUGCGGGGCUGGAGGGGGAUAGGGGUGGAUGGAACUUCCGGUGGAGCGGUGAAAUGCGUUGAUAUCGGAAGGAACGCCGGCGGCGAAAGCGAUCCACUGGGUCCCUGCUGACGCUGAGGCGCGAAAGCCAGGGGAGCGAACGGG